UCUCUUACAGCCAUCUUGGAUAUAACGUCCCAAGUCGCAACCAUGCCCGGUGAAGCCACAGAAACGGUCCCUGUGACCGAGCAGGAGAUGCAGCAGCCUCAAGUGGAGACUGGUUUGUAUAUUUUAUUUUCUCAUAAACGUGCAUGUUAGACUGCAUAUGAAACGGUGGGGUCCUGGAGCUCUUAAAAAAGUGAUUUAUUCAACAAAUAUCUGUCUGUGAUGGGCUAUUUGUUGAUUCAGAGGGACAGUGGUGCUUAAAAUGUUGAGUUUCUGGUAUGGGUUGUUUACUCAGCUGGUUUGACCUGAGUUGGUCUAACAGGUGAUAGUUGUUCUGUCACCAGACACAGUUGUAAAUGUAGUGUUACUCUUUACUAGGGUUUUCUCUGCCGGUCUGCCCCUCUUGUCUCUAAAGGAGUAAUCCAGGACCCCUCUUGUAUUUACACAAACUCACAAUGGUGUGUGGUGAACUAGCACUGACAUUGGGAUUUAGCAAACAAUGCAUGGUAUUGAGUGUUUUUCCCUGUGCACCUUUUAAAAACUCACUUUUUAGAGCCUGAAAUUAGUUUAGUAGCCAAAGCACAGGUCAAUCUUUGUCGCAUUUAAGCUUGACUAAAGAAUCUCAUUGUUUAACAAUUACUUUUUAUACAGCUAUAACUUAAAGUAUAAUAUUUCUGGGUAAUGAAUGUGUGAUUAAAAACAUCAGAUAACUGGUUUAUAAAGGCAGAAUGGGUUUUUCUGUUUUUUGUUUGUAGAUGACCUCAAGUAUGGAUGUGUCUGAGUCAGUGUGAUGGUGAGGAGUCCUCACAACACUGAAUCAUGACUGUUCAGAUGUCAGUAAAGUUACUGAUAAAACUUUCACAUUUUUCUUUUACACAUUUUAUUGAUUUUAUGCAACACUUUUCACCAGGAUGCUCCUUAAUGUGUUACUCUGGUAAUGAUCUUUUGAUGGGUGGAGGUGCAUAUUGACAAGUGGGGCAGGUUAUAUUAUAUUGAUAUUUUAACUGAUAAGUGGCAGACAGCACGAAAAAAGUGGCUAAUAGGCAAGCUCAUUGGUCAGUACAUUGUUCCAUACGGAUUCAGGUCCAUGUGCUUUAAGAAGCCAUAGUCAAUCUAGUUAUUUUUUUCAGCUUUCCUUCCUGUUCUGUUUAUUUUUUUUAACAUCUAAUCUAAUUUAGUUGAUAAACUGGUUAGCUAUAUUUGGGGUCAGUGUUGAAAUUAUUAAAACAUUACUAAAUAGGGUUAACAGUGGUAAUCUUGUGCACUUAUUUUUUGUUCGACAUCACAAUAAUCAUGUAAAGACAAUCAGGGACUUCACAGAUGCAGCUCCUACACCUGAAGGUUCAUUACCCGAACACCACUCAAAUAAGGGCAACUGUUGGAUCGUUACCAUUUGAAUAAGAGUCCUUCUUAAAUGGAUUAAAGAAUGACUUUGGAUUUUGGGUUUUUAGAUUGUUGUCAUGCAUUGUCUGCCUUCAUGGAAUAAUGGAGGUUUUUACUCACCCCUUACCUCACACUAAACCACUGCAUGGAGAUGGGAUUUGGGUAACCUUUUUUCCUAAGGUGCACUAAACACCCCCUCGUUGUUAACACGGGCUUACCAGGAGUCACUUCCACGUCUUCAACCUCUUUCACAAACUCAUCAGUACCAUUCACGUGUGGAGCACUAUGUUGUUUUUAUUACACCCUGAAAGUGAACUUCUCCCAAAACCAACUACCUUGAUUGCCCUCCCUCAUGUUACCCAUGAUGCCUGUCCUUUAUCAGCUGCAGUAUUGAAUUCACCUACUCCUCUCGAGACUGCUGACGCUACAGUGAGCAAGACAACCCCUCUGGAGAAAACUCCAGAAGCCGCUGUUUCUACUCAAGAGAUAGGCUCCCCAGAAGAAGCAAGCAUUCAGACUACUGUUGAUCAGUCGAACGGAGAAGCUGUGAUCCAAGAAGUAGCUGAGCAAAUAGAGGAGACAACACCUGUUCCACCGCAAGAGGUGACUGCUGAGCCAGCCGCCACCGCCGCUCCAGCUGAUGUGUCGGUUCCAGAAGAGUCUGUGGCCCCUGCUGAAGCUCCUGUUGCGCCAUCAGAAGAUCUGCAAGCUGAUGAAGUAGCAGCUCCAAUUCAAGAGUUAGUUGCUGCCACUGAAGAAUUGACCAUCCAAGACGUUGCACAGGUUUCUGUUGAAGAUGAGCCAGCAGCUGAUUUGUCAGUUCCUGAAGAGUCUGCGCCUCCUGCUGAAGCCCCUGUGGUGUCGUCGGAAAAUCUGCAAGCUGAUGAAGUAGCAGCUCCAAUUACAGAGUCAGUUGUUGCUGCUGAAGAAUCGGCCGUCCAAGACAUUACCUCUGUUGAAGACGAGCCAGCAGCUGUGCCAGAAGAAAUCCCUGCUGAUCCAGUACCAUGUGCUCCUGAAGGCGUCAGUGCAAACACUGAAGAUGUGACGGCAACUGAUGCUCCAAAGACUGAGGUAGAAGAACAGACGAAAUCGGAAGUGGUUCAAGAUGCCGUGUUGCCUGCUGAUGUGAUCGUCGAUGUGGCUACUCAAAAUGAAAAACCCAACAAAGAAGAGCCUGUUACACUUCCCACAAAAGCCAUUCAGUCAAAGGGGACCUCCAAAUGUGACGGCCCUCCUCUUUCCACUCACCACCUGUCAGGUUGGUUUAUCUUGUGUGAAAGAGGUGCUUCUUAAUUUUAAAUGCACCACUUAAUUGGAGGGAAAUGGUCAUCUAAGUGAUAAACAUGCAGCUGAGUUUAGGUAUCACAUAUCUUACACUAAACAGUACAUGUGAGAGAGGUACCUAAAUGGUUUCAGGCCUUCAGGGCAGGUCGGGGGCUAUCCUGACAUUAGAAUUUUCUCUUUUUACUUUCUAGAUUUUUCUAAAUGGUUGGUCAUUUUCUUCCAGUUUGUUCCAUUUCUUUAUGAAGCCAAAUUAAUUUUCAUACAAAGUCUUUUCGGGUAAGUGUUGGUCAGUUCUGCCUUGAAGUGCUAGCAGGUGCAUUUAUGCGUACAGGCCCAGCUAUCAGCAAGGGGGUAUUUUCUUUGUGCUGUUGUGAUAAAUGCAUUUGAUUUGAUUUUUCUCUUAAGGGCAUCUUGAGUUAAUAUGUGUUCCUUGUGUUUGGAAGUAGUUGGUAUGCAUUGUGCAUUUAGAGUGACAAAUACAUCAAACUCUGAAGUUAGGCUUUUGUGUCCUUUUCCUAACCCUGAUCGGAGGACAGUGCAUCUUGGUUUUUGAUCAAUUAACUCGCAUGGGUUCGACCUUCCCCUUCUCAUCCAAAGACUUUAAAGAAAUCCUUUUCUUAUUCAGCUACACCUCCUGCCCCAGCUUCCUCCCAGAAACCCGAGGCAGCUUCAGGUCCUGCAAAGCCGAAAGGCAAAGAUGCCAAAAGUGCUCAGGGUCCCUCUGCCCCAAAGGCUGUCCCUGGCAGAAGAAAACGCUCCUCCAUGUCUGCCUCCUCCUCUUCUCCCACCUCACCAAAAUCUGCUACCUCAACCCCACUCUCUCCUUUAGUAUCUCCCCUAGCUUCCUCACCUGGCGGUGCCUCUGCUAACCCGGCUAACCGCUUCACCCCAAAGGUUGUCAAGGCUGGCAAACAAGGAAAAGCUAAAAAAGCCGAGGUGUUUGUGCCUGCCCCUGUCUCUGCACCUGUGGAGUGCAAGAUGGCGGCAGCAGAUGAAAAAUUUGCAGCAACUGCUGCUCCAGUUGAGCCAAGCAAACCCUCAUCAACUACUGCAAAGCCUGUCACAGCCCCAGCUGCUUUCAAAGUAACCUCAAAGCCUGCUGUGGCAGCUCCAGUUUCAUUUUCUGGGACUCUUGAUUCUAGCCCUCUCAAACCUGUUGAGGUAAAGACACCCACUGCAAAAGCUGCCCCAGUUGUUGCUGUUGUAGAGGAUGAGCUUCCUCCACUUAUCCCUCCAGAGAAGACAAUAAAAUUGCCAGCGACCGUACCCCCUGUGGUCGGGGCUGAAGUGAUUGCUGAAGCUGUCAAGGCCGUUAAGCCAGCUUCUACUGAGGCUCCUAAGGCCAAACCUACCCCUGUUGAGGCUCCUAAGCCAGUGGCAGAGGCCAAGCCCGCUCCUAUUGAGGUUCCUAAGCCAGUUGUAGAAGCCAAGCCGUCUCCUGUUGAGGCUCCUAAGCCAGUUGCAGAGGCCAAGCCUGCUCCCGUUGAGGCUCCUAAGCCAGUUGCAGAGGCCAAGCCUGCUCCCGUGGAGGCUCCUAAGCCAGUUGCAGAGGCCAAGCCUGCUCCCGUCGAGGCUCCUAAGCCAGUUGCAGAGGCCAAGCCUGCUCCCGUUGAGGCUCCUAAGCCAGUUGCAGAGGCCAAGCCUGCUCCCGUUGAGGCUCCUAAGCCAGUUGCAGAGGCCAAGCCUGCUCCUGUUGAGGCUCCUAAGCAAGUUGCAGAAGGCAAGCCUGCUCCUGUUGAGGCUCCCAAGCCCGUUGCUGAGGCCAAGCCUGCUCCUGUUGAGGCUCCCAAGCCAGUUGCAGAGGCCAAGCCUGCUCCUGUUGAGGCUCCCAAGCCAGUUGCAGAGGCCAAGCCUGCUCCUGUUGAUGUUCCUAAGCCUGUUGCCGAGACCAAGCCUGCUCCUGUUGAGGUUCUUAAACCUGUUGAGACUAAACCUGCUCCUAUUGAAGAUGUGAAGCCAGUAGAAGAGGCUAAACCUGCUCCAGUUAAGGCUGAUAAGCCAAUUGAAGAGGCUAAACCUGCUCCUGUGGAGGCUCCUAAACCAGCUGCCAUUGAAGUCAGUAAACCAGCCCCAAUGAAGAUUGCUGAGCCAGUUGCCAUGGCUGAACCAGUCGAGGUCAAGGCUGAGGCUGCUAAGCCUAUCGAACCAGCAGCUGAGCCCUCACCUGCCCCAUUAAAACCCACCACCCCAAUUGAGCCGGCUGCUCCUGCACCAGCUCCACGCAAACUCACAUUUGCUGAGGCUGUCGCAACACCUGCUCCAGCUAAACCCGAGGUAGAGGUAAUCAAUAAAACUCCUUCUGAACCUGUCUCAGCACCCAAACCCGCCCCCACUCCUGCUAAAACCCCAGCCAAGAUGGAGACUGUGAUCAAGAAUGACAAGGGUAUUUUCUUCUUUCUCUCUUUUAUGCCUCCUGUUGUUCCUUCUGUUUCUCUUCUGCAGGACCUGCUCAGAUGCUUAGACAUGUUUGUAGAAAUGUAGGUUGUGAGGUAAACGUAUGUUUUGCGUUAAAUUAACAUGUUGUCGGUACUCAAAGAUACUGCUGAGUUUUUGAAUGGAUGCACUUGCCAGUUCCUUUUUUUCCUUGCAUAUCGUCAGCCAUUUUAUGCUUUUAAUGAAGGUGCGUAGUGCUCAGGCUGUGAAAGAUAGUUUUGGUUUGGAGUUGGUUAUUGUAUCUACAGUGUAGGAAAAUGACUGUCACGCCAACGUGGUUAUUGCAGUUUAUAUUUUCAACUUUUGCCCUGGGUGUAGUUCAGCUCAGGUAAUAGACAGUUUUGGAUCAAUAUUUACUAACUGAUUUUUUGAUUCCCCAGGGUUGAUGCAGCAACAUUUUUUUGAUAAGCAAAUGGAAAGCCAUGAAAUGGGUGGCAUGUGGUGACUAAAUUUAGGUUUCUGUGACUGGUUUCUGUAGGAUCUGGCACUGAGUCAGACAGCGAUGACUCAGUCCCUGAGCUGGAGGAACAGGACUCUGCACAGACACAGACACAGCAAGCUCAGGUGAGAGUUCACAAUGAUUUAAAAUAUUGCGUCCACAGUUGCUUUAGUAAAGAUCCCAACAUCUGCUGCUUAUGUGAAACAUUUUGGGCAGAUGCCCUCCCGUUACUCUUCUGUGAUGAUUAACACAGUGACUUUCGUUCUUCUGAGUCCACUGAAGCCAUUUUAUCUGUCCUGAGAAGAGAAAGCAUCAACACAAUGAAACUAUUUUAAAUUAGUUGAUCAUUUUAUUUCAUCCUCAUUCACGGGACAUACAAUGUCGGAUGUCUGUUACAGCUUGCAGCAGCAGCUGAAAUAGACGAGGAACCAGUCAGCAAAGCCAAACAGAGCCGCAGUGAAAAGAAGGCACGAAAGGCAAUGUCAAAGCUUGGUCUCAGGCAGGUAACAGGGGUCACCAGGGUCACCAUUCGCAAGUCAAAGAACAUCCUGUUCGUCAUUACCAAACCAGACGUCUACAAGAGCCCCGCAUCAGACACAUACAUCGUCUUCGGUGAAGCUAAGAUCGAGGAUCUUUCCCAGCAAGCCCAGCUGGCAGCAGCAGAAAAGUUCAAGGUACAGGGAGAAGCCGUUUCAAAUAUCCAGGAAAACACACAGACGCCAACAGUACAGGAGGAGAGCGAAGAAGAAGAGGUUGAUGAGACCGGAGUCGAGGUUAAGGACAUUGAACUCGUUAUGUCGCAAGCCAACGUGUCGCGAGCGAAGGCUGUACGUGCCCUGAAAAACAACAACAACGACAUUGUCAAUGCUAUUAUGGAGUUGACAAUGUAAGGGGACCCUGACUUGGAAGGGUUGAAGAAAGGUUGCUGAUUUAAGCUCGUUUAUACAAUUUAUACCCAAGAUGGAAAUAAAGUUGUGGCUUGAUGAAAUGAAAA